AUGACGGUAAUAAGCCCUGGAGGGUCCAUGGACCUCAUCUGGAAGGGCUCCGGCUGCACCUUCAGCAGCUUCGCGAUGUAUUGGGUCCGUCAGGAGCCCCAGAAGGGCCUCCAGUGGGUCGCGGGGAUCUACAGCAAUGGUGGUGGCACCUACUACGCGCCGUCGGUCAAGGGGCGCUUCACCAUCUCCAGGGACAACGGCCAGAGCACGGUGACGCUGCGGAUGACCAACCUGAAGGCCGAGGACACGGCCACCUACUACUGCGCCAAAGACGCUUAUGGUGGUGGUGGUGAUGGUGGUGGUGAUGGUGGUGGUGAUGGUGGUUAUGGUGGUCCCACCGGUGUCAACACUCGCGAUCCCUGGAGGGUCCAUGGACCUCAUCUGGAAGGGCUCCGGCUUCACCUUCAGCAGCUUCACGAUGUAUUGGGUCCGUCAGGAGCCCCAGAAGGGCCUCCAGUGGGUCGCGGGGAUCCACAGCAAUGGUGGUACCACCUCCUACGCGCCGUCGGUCAAGGGGCGCUUCACCAUCUCCAGGGACAACGGCCAGAGCACGGUGACGCUGCGGAUGACCAACCUGAAGGCCGAGGACACGGCCACCUACUACUGCGCCAAAGACGCUGAUGGUGGUGGUUAUGGACCACCAGAACCCCUUUGACAGUCCUCUGGGACCCUUUUAG